rnacentral:rRNA from 1 species
AUUGAACGCUGGCGGCAGGCCUAACACAUGCAAGUCGAGCGGGGUUUUCGGACCUAGCGGCGGACGGGUGAGUAAUGCGUAGGAAGCUACCCGAUAGAGGGGGAUACCAGUUGGAAACGACUGUUAAUACCGCAUGAUGUCUACGGACCAAAGUGUGGGACCUUCGGGCCACAUGCUAUCGGAUGCGCCUACGUGGGAUUAGCUAGUUGGUGGGGUAAUGGCUCACCAAGGCGACGAUCCCUAGCUGGUUUGAGAGGCUGAUCAGCCACACUGGAACUGAGACACGGUCCAGACUCCUACGGGGGGCAGCAGUGGGGAAUAUUGGACAAUGUGCGCAAGCCUGAUCCAUCCAUGCCGCGUGUGUGAAGAAGGCCUUCGGGUUGUAAAGCACUUUCAGUAGGGAGGAAGGGUGUUGUGUUAAUAGCACAGCAUUUUGACGUUACCUACAGAAGAAGCACCGGCUAACUCUGUGCCAGCCGCCGCGGUAAUAC